rnacentral:lncRNA from 1 species
UUCUCUUGCACUGCCCCUUCCAAUGGGUUUCGAAGAUAAAAAUCCUUUAACAAAAAACUACUUUUCUUAGAAGGAACUCCUACCAGAUUUUUAAUUUUUAAUUAAUAAUAAAUAUUCACUUCACAACUUAUUUAUUAACUUAUAAGAUAAUUUAUGUGUGCUAGUUUUUCAUUUAGACUUUUGAUUUGUGUUUUUUGAUUCUUAUUUUUCUUUUUGCACCUAAUAAAAAGAAUUGGAAUGAAUUAUGAUGAUU